rnacentral:rRNA from 1 species
AGAGUUUGAUCAUGGCUCAGAUUGAACGCUGGCGGCAGGCCUAACACAUGCAAGUCGAGCGGUAGAGAGGUGCUUGCACCUCUUGAGAGCGGCGGACGGGUGAGUAAUACCUAGGAAUCUGCCUGGUAGUGGGGGAUAACGUUCGGAAACGGACGCUAAUACCGCAUACGUCCUACGGGAGAAAGCAGGGGACCUUCGGGCCUUGCGCUAUCAGAUGAGCCUAGGUCGGAUUAGCUAGUUGGUGAGGUAAUGGCCCACCAAGGCUACGAUCCGUAACUGGUCUGAGAGGAUGAUCAGUCACACUGGAACUGAGACACGGUCCAGACUCCUACGGGAGGCAGCAGUGGGGAAUAUUGGACAAUGGGCGAAAGCCUGAUCCAGCCAUGCCGCGUGUGUGAAGAAGGUCUUCGGAUUGUAAAGCACUUUAAGUUGGGAGGAAGGGCAUUAACCUAAUACGUUAGUGUUUUGACGUUACCGACAGAAUAAGCACCGGCUAACUCUGUG